GCGCGCGCAGGCGGUCUCUUAAGUCUGAUGUGAAAGCCCACGGCUCAACCGUGGAGGGUCAUUGGAAACUGGGAGACUUGAGUGUAAGAGAGGAAAGUGGAAUUCCAUGUGUAGCGGUGAAAUGCGUAGAUAUAUGGAGGAACACCAGUGGCGAAGGCGACUUUCUGGCUUACAACUGACGCUGAGGCGCGAAAGCGUGGGGAGCAAACAGGAUUAGAUACCCUGGUAGUCCACGCCGUAAACGAUGAGUGCUAGGUGUUAGGGGUUUCGAUGCCCUUAGUGCCGAAGUUAACACAUUAAGCACUCCGCCUGGGGAGUACGGCCGCAAGGCUGAAACUCAAAGGAAUUGACGGGGGCCCGCACAAGCAGUGGAGCAUGUGGUUUAAUUCGAAGCAACGCGAAGAACCUUACCAGGUCUUGACAUCCUCUGCCACUCCUAGAGAUAGGACGUUCCCCUUCGGGGGACAGAGUGACAGGUGGUGCAUGGUUGUCGUCAGCUCGUGUCGUGAGAUGUUGGGUUAAGUCCCGCAACGAGCGCAACCCUUGACCUUAGUUGCCAGCAUUUAGUUGGGCACUCUAAGGUGACUGCCGGUGACAAACCGGAGGAAGGUGGGGACGACGUCAAAUCAUCAUGCCCCUUAUGACCUGGGCUACACACGUGCUACAAUGG
rnacentral:rRNA from 2 species